rnacentral:rRNA from 1 species
CCUACGGGGGGCUGCAGUGGGGAAUAUUGGACAAUGGGGGGAACCCUGAUCCAGCCAUGCCGCGUGUGUGAAGAAGGCCCUCGGGUUGUAAAGCACUUUCAGUGAGGAAGAACGCCUGUUGGUUAAUACCCAUCAGGAAAGACAUCACUCACAGAAGAAGCACCGGCUAACUCCGUGCCAGCAGCCGCGGUAAUACGGAGGGUGCGAGCGUUAAUCGGAAUUACUGGGCGUAAAGCGCGCGUAGGUGGCUUGAUAAGCCGGUUGUGAAAGCCCCGGGCUCAACCUGGGAACGGCAUCCGGAACUGUCAAGCUAGAGUGCAGGAGAGGAAGGUAGAAUUCCCGGUGUAGCGGUGAAAUGCGUAGAGAUCGGGAGGAAUACCAGUGGCGAAGGCGGCCUUCUGGACUGACACUGACACUGAGGUGCGAAAGCGUGGGUAGCAAACAGGAUUAGAUACCCGUGUAGUC